rnacentral:rRNA from 1 species
UAGGGAAUCUUCGGCAAUGGGGGCAACCCUGACCGAGCAACGCCGCGUGAGUGAAGAAGGUUUUCGGAUCGUAAAGCUCUGUUGUAAGUCAAGAACGAGUGUGAGAGUGGAAAGUUCACACUGUGACGGUAGCUUACCAGAAAGGGACGGCUAACUACGUGCCAGCAGCCGCGGUAAUACGUAGGUCCCGAGCGUUGUCCGGAUUUAUUGGGCGUAAAGCGAGCGCAGGCGGUUUGAUAAGUCUGAAGUUAAAGGCUGUGGCUCAACCAUAGUUCGCUUUGGAAACUGUCAAACUUGAGUGCAGAAGGGGAGAGUGGAAUUCCAUGUGUAGCGGUGAAAUGCGUAGAUAUAUGGAGGAACACCGGUGGCGAAAGCGGCUCUCUGGUCUGUAACUGACGCUGAGGCUCGAAAGCGUGGGGAGCAAACAGGAUUAGAUACCCUGGUAGUCCACGCCGUAAACGAUGAGUGCUAGGUGUUAGGUCCUUUCCGGGACUUAGUGCCGCAGCUAACGCAUUAAGCACUCCGCCUGGGGAGUACGACCGCAAGGUUG